CUUGUAAUUGGAAUGAUGGUGACGUAAAAUCUCACCAGAGUAACAAUUGGAGGGCAAGUCUGGUGCCAGCAGCCGCGGUAAUUCCAGCUCCAAUAGCGUAUAUUAAACUUGUUGCAGUUAAAAAGCUCGUAGUUGAAUUUCUGCGUUGCCCGACUCGGCUACUUGCCUUGUCUGGUUUCGCUUUUGGGGUUUUCCCCUUUUUACUUUGAGAAAAUUAGAGUGUUUCAAGCAGACUUGUGUCUUGAAUACUUCAGCAUGGAAUAAUAAAGUAGGACUUUGGUUCUAUUUUGUUGGUUUGUGAACCUUAGUAAUGGUUAAUAGGAACGGUUGGGGGCAUUCGUAUUUAACUGUCAGAGGUGAAAUUCUUAGAUUUGUUAAAGACGAACUACUGCGAAAGCAUUUGCCAAGGACGUUUUCAUUAAUCAAGAACGAAAGUUAGGGGAUCGAAGACGAUCAGAUACCGUCGUAGUCCUAACCAUAAAC
rnacentral:rRNA from 1 species